rnacentral:tRNA from 1 species
GGAACUGUGCCUGAAGCAAAGGACCACUUUGAUAGAGUGAAUUAUGAAAGUUAAAUUCUUUCCAGCUCCU